ACGGUAGGAUGGGCAGACACCGUGCAAGGUCCUGGGGUUACAGAAGGAACCGGGGAGGGGGUUCCCCGCUCUCCGUGAGCUCACGUUCUAACGGGAGAGUCAGACAACAAGCUGUUAGGGCGAGGAGUCAGUGAUGCACACAGAACAGGCAGUGGCCGAGGGCUGGUGGUCAGGGAUGCCCGUGAGAGGGCGGCCGAGGUCGCCACGCACACGUUUGGUGCUGAGGAUCGAUUUAAGUCCGAGUCUGUCGACCUUGUUUCUCGUCGGCGACAACAGGGCUGAAAGGCAUGGGGUCCUGCCUAAUAGCGCACUUCUUCCUUUUGAAACUGCACUUCCGUGGGGAGUGCGGAAAGCCGAAAUCUCUUGUACAAAUACUGAUUAACGGGACUGACCAAGGGGAUCUCGGAGCUAAAAAAAGGCGAUAGGGCGACUGGGGCUUGUGGUCACCGGAUGGCGUGACCUGCGAGUCCGCCUCAAGGAGCGCGAGGACCCAGCCAACCCUUCUCUCGGCAUCCCCGCCAAGGAGGCAGCAGGAUGUAUCUUUCCUGCCUAGAAACAAGCACCACGGCCACCAGCUCUCGCAGCCGUGAGCGAGGAGGGACCGCGAGGCCUCCUGCGCGUAGCCUCGGAGUCGGGCGGAAGGGAAGGCCCUCCGCUUCCCUCAGACCACGCCCUUUCCCGCUCUGCGCAUGCGCCUCUGCAUAGCUCAGUGGGGCCUGGGAUCCUGCAGAGGGCGACAGAACCCGCGGCGCCUGCCUUUUACGUCACGCUCCGCUUGCGUGCUGAUUCCGGGUCAGAGGUCGGGCGCAGCUUGGGUCAUGGUGCAGCUCAGGCCGCGCGCGUCCCGCGCCCCGGUGUCGGCGUCGGCGAUGGUGGACGAGGGCCAGCCCGCCUCGGAGGAGGAGGCGGAGCACGGCCUGUUGCUCGGGCAGCCGAGCAGCGGCGCAGCUGCCGAGCCGCUGGAGGAAGACGAGGAAGGGGACGAUGAGCUUGACGACGAGGCCCCGGAGGAGCUGACUUUCGCCAGCGCCCAGGCGGAAGCGAAAGAAGAGGAGCGGCGAGUUCGCGAGACCGUGCGCAGGGAUAAAACGCUUCUGAAGGAGAAGAGAAAGCGACGCGAGGAGUUGUUCAUCGAACAGAAGAAAAGAAAACUUCUUCCAGAUACUAUUCUAGAGAAGUUAACUACAGCUUCACAAACUAGUGUGAAGAAAUCACUGGCAAAGUUGAAAGAAGUUAAUUUGCAAAAGAAAAAUGAAGAAUGUGAGAAAGGAAGUGACUCUAAGAAGGCUAAAGAAAAAGUGCAAAAAGUACAGACUGUUGGCCAGAAUAAAAGCUACUUGGCUGUAAGGCUAAAAGACCAAGAUUUGAGAGAUUCAAGGCAAGAAGCAGCCAAAGCCUUCAUACAAAAUUGUUUAUAUGGUCCAGGAACCAACAGAACUACUGUAAACAAGUUCCUGUCUCUUGACAGCAAGAGGUUACCGGUGAAAAAGGCCGCAGCCCAGUUUUUGAAUAAUGCUUGGGGAUCCCAGAAAAAACAAAAUGCCAAGAGGUUUAGAAGACGUUGGAUGGUCAGAAAGAUGAAAACUUCUAAGAAGUAAAUCAAAGCUAAAUGAAGAAUGAGUACUUUAUCAAUUGACAUGACCAAAGACAACGGCACCAGGUUUCCGGUACAAGUUUCACUGAUGGAUUCUUCCCCUUCUGGGAAGAGGACCCAACAGAGGCUGCCGAAUCCUUUCCACGGCAUGUUGCUGAAUGUCAUUUCGGCUGGGGACACGGGUUUGAUCCCUGGUCCGGGAGGAUCCCACAUGCCGCGGAGCAACUAAGCCCAUGCGCCACAGCUACUGAGCCUGCGCGUCUAGAGCCCGCGAGCCACAACUGUUGAAGCCUGUGCGCCUGGAGCCCGUGCUCCGCAACAGGAGAAGCCGCUGCAAUGAGAAGCCCGCGCACCACAACGAAGAGUAGCCCCCACUCGCCGCCAACUAGAGAAAGCC